UUUUUUAGAAACAUUUUUUAUUAAACAAAAGUCCGUUACAAAAUUCCUACGAUAAGGAAAGCGUGUUAUCUGUUAACCGCAAAAAUUGAUUAUAAAAGUUCCGUUUUUUACACAUUUCACCAGUUUUAUUAAAACUAUCUUUGUGAGAAGUUGUGUGUGCUCCGUUGUGUAUUUUUGCAUUUAAAUUUCAAAGGAUUCUAUAAUGGCUGAUCAACUAUGAAAUCUGAAUAAAAUUGCUGCCUGUGAAUAUACUGAUACAUAUAUCAGUGCCAACGAUUUGGAAGUGAACAAGAAAUAUAAAAUCAUCAAUUUAACCAAGGCAAACGCACAACAUGGGGUUAUGAUGGUAGCAUAUCUGGACAACGUCGGUAAAGUUUUUUUACCUAAACGACUAACAGCAGUUAUGAAUGAUACCAUAAUUACGACAUUAAUGGAAGGACUCAGAUCUUAUUUGAUUUACAUGGGACGUAAGCAAGCUAAUAGAAAUCAGGAACAUGAUGCCCAUAUUUUUAAUUUCGAACGUAUUAUUCACGAAGAGUAAUGUAAAAUUUUUGAUUAAUUCUACACUGGCAACACCGCAGACGCAAGAACUAGCAAGAACUCACGCUGAAAACAGGUCUAAAAAAGUAUGCAACUUGUAGUACACCAAUUCUCAACAAUCGCUUCGGUACCCUGAAGCCUUAAGUUUCGACAUUUUGUUGAGAUAAUAAUCUCCAACUUUCCUUGACGACGAGUCCUUUUUUGCGUUUUCAUGAAGUCGCAACAUCUUUUCUCCAAUUUCUUGUUGAUUUUUAGCCAGAGAAUCCAUUUUUUCUCCCAUUUUUCUGCUUUUGGUAGUUUCGAAGAGAUGAAGAGAUGAUGAAGUACUAUUGGACAUCAGCCUCACUGUCCCAAAAUUAUGGCUUGGAGAUAGAACUUGAUUCACACAAGUGCUCGAAGGAGCAUGAAUGAGCAGAACUCGGGGUUAAGUUCAUACUGAUUUUAUUACAAAAAUAAUUCGAAGCCUGAAGAAAAUGCUAAACACUUCGAAAUUUUGCAAUAGGUAAAACCAAACAUAUCCAAAGGAU